rnacentral:rRNA from 1 species
AUACGGAGGAUCCGAGCGUUAUCCGGAUUUAUUGGGUUUAAAGGGUGCGCAGGCGGCCAUUUAAGUCAGCGGUUAAAUCGUGGGGCUCAACCCCAUUCUGCCGUUGAUACUGGGUGGCUUGAUUGCGGUCGAGGUUGGCGGAAUUCGUUGUGUAGCGGUGAAAUGCAUAGACAUGACGAAGAACACCGAUUGCGUAGGCAGCUGACCAGACCGCAAAUGACGCUCAUGCACGAAAGUGCGGGGAUCGAACAGGAUUAGAUACCCUGGUAGUCCGCACAGUAAACGAUGAAUACUUGUUUUCGGCGAUAUAAUGUCGGAGGCAAAGCGAAAGCGAUAAGUAUUCCACCUGGGGAGUACGCCGGCAACGGUGAAACUCAAAUGAAUCGGCGGGG